GCUGAUGUGGCUCAGUCGGUAGAGCAGUUGAUUCGUAAUCAACAGGUCAGGGGUCCGAAUCCCCUCAUCAGCUCCA
rnacentral:tRNA from 1 species